rnacentral:rRNA from 1 species
GAUGAACGCUAGCUACAGGCUUAACACAUGCAAGUCGAGGGGUAACGAGAGGAAAGCUUGCUUUCCUUGUCGACGACCGGCGCACGGGUGAGUAACGCGUAUCCAACCUGCCCCCAACUAGGGAAUAACCUUGCGAAAGUAAGACUAAUACCCUAUAAUUUCCUCAGAUGACAUCUGACGAGGAAUAAAGAUUUAUCGGUUGUGGAUGGGGAUGCGUCUGAUUAGCUUGUUGGCGGGGUAACGGCCCACCAAGGCAACGAGCAGUAGGGGUCCUGAGAGGAAGGUCCCCCACAUUGGAACUGAGACACGGUCCAAACUCCUACGGGAGGCAGCAGUGAGGAAUAUUGGUCAAUGGGCGGAAGCCUGAACCAGCCAAGUAGCGUGCAGGAUGACGGCCCUAUGGGUUGUAAACUGCUUUUAUACAGGAAUAAAGUUAGCCACGUGUGGUUAUUUGUAGGUACUGUAUGAAUAAGGACCGGCUAAUUCCGUGCCAGCAGCCGCAGUAA